rnacentral:lncRNA from 1 species
CGGCCAUUUUCCGACAAUACAUGAUAAGGUGGCUUCUAGGGCACGUGGUUCCAUCAUACUUGUUAAAGUCAGGAACCUUAAAUUUAUGGGGGAUGGCUAUAUUAGGGACCAAACAUAAUUCUAGGGCAUCCAGGAUCGUUCGUGAUAACUUCUUCGGAUUUGUAUGAACUAGCGGACCAAUCACUAAGUGGGAUGCUCCCUCCAGCAUGAGCGAACCUUUUCAGAACUACUUAGGAAUAGGCGCCACUAUCCCAGCCCGGAUCCAGCCUAGUGUAAUGUUAAGAAGUCAUGCGAUAUGAAGACAUUGAUAGCAAUAUGGGGGAAGUUCCCAUCAGGCAAC